UACGGAGGGUGCAAGCGUUAUCCGGAUUUACUGGGUUUAAAGGGAGCGCAGGCGGAUUAGUAAGUCAGUGGUGAAAGCCUUGAGCUUAACUCGAGAACUGCCAUUGAUACUAUUAGUCUUGAAUGUUGUUGAGGUUUGCGGAAUGGGUCAUGUAGCGGUGAAAUGCAUAGAUAUGACAUAGAACACCAAUUGCGAAGGCAGCUGGCUACACAAAUAUUGACACUGAGGCACGAAAGCGUGGGGAGCAAACAGG
rnacentral:rRNA from 1 species